rnacentral:tRNA from 1 species
GGGGUAAUAGCUCAAGUGGUGGAGUGCGUGCUUAUCAUGCACUAGGUCCUGGGUUCAAUCCCUGGUACCUCCA